rnacentral:lncRNA from 1 species
AUCUACAAAAACAAAUUAAAAUAAUAAAUAGAGUAGAUUUUAAAACAGUAAACAAAAAUUUAAAACAAUACAAAGUAGAGAUUGUAAAACAGUAAUGAACAACAAUUAGAUUGUAAAACAGUAAUGAAUUCCUAGGGUUUUUUCCGCCGUUGUCCUCCACUUCUUGGGAUUUUUCUCACCGCCGUUCAUCUUCCGUUUUUUUCACUCUCAUGCACGAGUCAUCUUCACGCUAUUUUUUUUCUUGCAGACGUAAACAGAGAGCAAAGUGGUGCUCGCUCGUUCGUCCUGAGCGAACGAGCGAGCAAACAAGAAAUGUUUUCGACAGCGAACGCGCAAAGUGAAGGACUCUGACCGAGAGAGAGGAAAAAUCUGUCCGCGAGCGAACAAGUUUGGUGGGUCCUCCGCGUGCGACGUUUUGGGUUCUUCGCGUGUUAGCGUUUUGAGUUCUCCGCGUGCGGUUCGUCUGACAGAGGAGCGAGCACCGUCUUGUUCUGAGCGAAGAAAGCUUCAUGGGUUCUCUAGGACAAGCAGCGAGCGGGGUCUCCGCGAGUGAGCACCUUGGGUUCUCCACGAGCGAGCGAGUCUGGUGGGUUCUCCGCGAGCGUCUGACAGAAGAGCGAGCACCGGCGUGUCCGCGAGCGAAUGCCGGAGUGUCCGCGAGCGAGCGCCUGAGCGGCCGUGGUUCCACGUCUUUGACUGCGAGCGACAGAUCGACCUCUUUCCGCGAACAUCAGAUUCCUCAUACAGCUAGCAGAAGAUGGGAGCUAGAAAGCCUCGCUAUUGGUUACUGACCUGCAAGCCGAAGAUUAACAUGCCAUAUUCAUUCCAUACUCUUAGUUGCUUACUUAAUCGUUUUUUUUAUUGUAACUUGUAAUCUCUUUAUCUUAUAUUUUAUCUAAAUCGCCUAAAAAAAAGAUGUAAAACUGUAAAGAGAUUAAAGAAAAUAGAAGAAGAAAAAUAAAUUAGGAAAAGAAGAAAAUAGAAGAUUAUAGAAGGAGGAGGAAGAUGAAGGGAAAAAAAAACCAUUACCUAAGCUUGGAGAGGAGGGCUGGAACCGACGGUACGUGGCGAGUCGGCGGGUGGCGAUUGGAGCAAAAAAUCGACAGAAAUUCGCCACUAAAGGUGCGGUUAUUUCCGCCACGAAAACUAAAACUCUGCCCAAUUGAAAUUUGAGAGGGCUAAUUUCGCCCGAUUCCCUCCUAAACUUUUGGUGGUGGAAAUCCACCAGGUAAUCGGAUCGAUUUUGGGGGAGGAUUUGAAAUUUUGGACGAGAUUUCUUUCGUGGUAAAUUUCUACCAUUGAAAAUUCUAAAAAUCCUUUCUCUUGUCAUACCUUUUCGUAGUGGUUUAUAAGUAGUAGAGGCAGAUUUCCGCUACAAAAAGUACAAAACUAUUCGUGAGGAAAUUCCAUCACGAAAAGUCGUUAUACAAGAUGAUGAGGGUCGCACUCAACAGUGACGGAUUGGUCGAUCGACUGGUUGAAUGGUGCCAACCAGUCGAUCGCCCGACUUCACAUUGCAGGAACAUUACCAGUCGGUUGGACCGGAAGCUAUGAAUGUUUAGUCGCACGCUCCACUCCUUUGUUCUAAAAGAAGUCGGUCUCUUGGUAUCCGUGUGUGAAAUGAAAGAUUUCCCCACUAUUUAUAAACUUUCCGGAGAGUAGAUUGGUCGUUUCACCUUGUCGGGAUUGGAGGGGAAAAUGAACUUUUCCUGAGAUGGUCGUUUGGUUGACUAGUGGUCGGACCCAACUCCGGUCGGUCAGUUAGGGUCGACCUACUAAUUGUCGAUUGACCAGGAGGGCGAUCGACCAGUACAGUCCAAGACCGACUAGGAUUCCGGUCGGUCGACUAGGAAUCCAGUCGCCUCCUCAGAUGUGGUCGGAUUCUCAAUCAACUCCGUCGUGAGUCAAUACAGGGGAUAGGAUUUCCCCAAUCUAGGCUUGGUUGAGAGCCCAUGCCUGCUUGCGAU